AGAGUUUGAUCCUGGCUCAGGAUGAACGCUGGCGGCGUGCCUAAUACAUGCAAGUCGAGCGAACAGACGAGGAGCUUGCUCCUUUGACGUUAGCGGCGGACGGGUGAGUAACACGUGGAUAACCUACCUAUAAGACUGGGAUAACUUCGGGAAACCGGAGCUAAUACCGGAUAACAUGUUGAACCGCAUGGUUCAACAGUGAAAGACGGUCUUGCUGUCACUUAUAGAUGGAUCCGCGCCGCAUUAGCUAGUUGGUAAGGUAACGGCUUACCAAGGCAACGAUGCGUAGCCGACCUGAGAGGGUGAUCGGCCACACUGGAACUGAGACACGGUCCAGACUCCUACGGGAGGCAGCAGUAGGGAAUCUUCCGCAAUGGGCGAAAGCCUGACGGAGCAACGCCGCGUGAGUGAAGAAGGUCUUCGGAUCGUAAAACUCUGUUAUUAGGGAAGAACAAAUGUGUAAGUAACUAUGCACGUCUUGACGGUACCUAAUCAGAAAGCCACGGCUAACUACGUGCCAGCAGCCGCGGUAAUACGUAGGUGGCAAGCGUUAUCCGGAAUUAUUGGGCGUAAAGCGCGCGUAGGCGGUUUUUUAAGUCUGAUGUGAAAGCCCACGGCUCAACCGUGGAGGGUCAUUGGAAACUGGAAAACUUGAGUGCAGAAGAGGAAAGUGGAAUUCCAUGUGUAGCGGUGAAAUGCGCAGAGAUAUGGAGGAACACCAGUGGCGAAGGCGACUUUCUGGUCUGUAACUGACGCUGAUGUGCGAAAGCGUGGGGAUCAAACAGGAUUAGAUACCCUGGUAGUCCACGCCGUAAACGAUGAGUGCUAAGUGUUAGGGGGUUUCCGCCCCUUAGUGCUGCAGCUAACGCAUUAAGCACUCCGCCUGGGGAGUACGACCGCAAGGUUGAAACUCAAAGGAAUUGACGGGGACCCGCACAAGCGGUGGAGCAUGUGGUUUAAUUCGAAGCAACGCGAAGAACCUUACCAAAUCUUGACAUCCUCUGAUCCCCUCUAGAGAUAGAGUUUUCCCCUUCGGGGGACAGAGUGACAGGUGGUGCAUGGUUGUCGUCAGCUCGUGUCGUGAGAUGUUGGGUUAAGUCCCGCAACGAGCGCAACCCUUAAGCUUAGUUGCCAUCAUUAAGUUGGGCACUCUAAGUUGACUGCCGGUGACAAACCGGAGGAAGGUGGGGAUGACGUCAAAUCAUCAUGCCCCUUAUGAUUUGGGCUACACACGUGCUACAAUGGACAAUACAAAGGGUAGCGAAAACCGCGAGGUCAAGCAAAUCCCAUAAAGUUGUUCUCAGUUCGGAUUGUAGUCUGCAACUCGACUACAUGAAGCUGGAAUCGCUAGUAAUCGUAGAUCAGCAUGCUACGGUGAAUACGUUCCCGGGUCUUGUACACACCGCCCGUCACACCACGAGAGUUUGUAACACCCGAAGCCGGUGGAGUAACCUUUUGGAGCUAGCCGUCGAAGGUGGGACAAAUGAUUGGGGUGAAGUCGUAACAAGGUAGCCGUAUCGGAAGGUGCGGCUG
rnacentral:rRNA from 3 species